rnacentral:rRNA from 1 species
UACGUAGGGGGCAAGCGUUGUCCGGAAUUAUUGGGCGUAAAGGCGCGUAGGCGGCCUGUUAAGUCGAACGUGAAAUCCCUCGGCUUAACCGGGGAACUGCGUCUGAUACUGGAUGGCUUGAGUUUGGGAGAGGGAUGCGGAAUUCCAGGUGUAGCGGUGAAAUGCGCAGAUAUCAGGAGGAACACCGGUGGCGAAGGCGGGUCUCUGGGCCGAUACUGACGCUGAGGAGCGAAAGCGUGGGGAGCGAACAGG